GACGAACGCUGGCGGCGUGCUUAACACAUGCAAGUCGAACGGAAAGGCCCUGCUUUUGUGGGGUUCUCGAGUGGCGAACGGGUGAGUAACACGUGAGUAACCUGCCCUUGACUUUGGGAUAACUUCAGGAAACUGGGGCUAAUACCGGAUAGGAGCUCCUGCUGCAUGGUGGGGGUUGGAAAGUUUCGGCGGUUGGGGAUGGACUCGCGGCUUAUCAGCUUGUUGGUGGGGUAGUGGCUUACCAAGGCAUUGACGGGUAGCCGGCCUGGGAGGGUGACCGGCCACAUGGGGACUGAGAUACGGCCCAGACUCCUACGGGAGGCAGCAGUCGGGAAUAUUGCACAAUGGGCGGAAGCCUGAUGCAGCAGCGCCGCGUGCGGGAUGACGGCCUUCGGGUUGUAAACCGCUUUCGCCUGUGACGAAGCGUGAGUGACGGUAAUGGGUAAAGAAGCACCGGCUAACUACGUG
rnacentral:rRNA from 1 species